ACCAAUGGUCUCUCUCUGGGCGGGGCUGCUGUUGGACGGCCUGGGCCAAUCCGAGGCGCCGGAGGCCAAUCAGUUGGCGGAGCGGCGCGUGCGCGGGCGAGGAACUGCCCGGGCGCGGUAGCGUACGGGAAGACCGGAGAGGAGCUGCGUCUCUGCCCCGUGGGAGCCGGCGGGGCGGCGGGGCGGCGGCUGCAGCUGCAGCUCCGGCGCGAGGGCUCCCUUGCCGGGCCCUCUUCCCCGACCCCUGGGGCGCUCCGACAAGGAAGAGCCGUCCAGCGCGCGUCCGUCCUGAGCGUGGGCCUAGAACCAAUUACAGAGUCAAACCCAAGAGCCGAAGAAAGUGAAGACUCGCAGCUUGCCGCAGCCCCCUCCUCGGCCUGCGCACCUCCCAUUGAGGGCGUCCUGAUUUAAACGCGUGCCUCCUGCAUUUCUGCUUCUGCCCCAGGCUAGAGCGGCGACCAGGAACGCUGGACCCACAGAGAUCUGUGGCAAUGUCUGUCGAACCAUGGUGUUCUUUGGGGCAUCUGACUAGAGUAUUGUUUGAUAACCAGAAAGAAAUCAAAAAUUGGUGAUCACAAGGCUAAUGUCACUUUUGCUGCAGUGGAAAAUCAUGAUCAUUCUGUUUAA
rnacentral:lncRNA from 1 species